rnacentral:rRNA from 1 species
CCGCCUGCCCAGUGACUCUAGUUCAACGGCCGCGGUAUAUUAACCGUGCAAAGGUAGCGUAAUAAAUUGCCUUUUAAAUGAAGGCCUGUAUGAAUGGCACCACGAGGGCCAAACUGUCUCCUUUUUCUUGUCAAUGAAAUUGACCUCCCCGUGCAGAGGCGGGGAUAUUUGCAUCAGACGAGAAGACCCUGUGGAGCUUCAAGACAAAAGGGCAGUUAGUGUUCAGCAUUAACAUUAAAUUGAAGACUCCAAUUAGUCCUGCCCGAAUGUCUUUGGUUGGGGCGACCACGGCGCAACAGAAACCCCCCGCGCGGAACGGUGCCUACCCACCCCAGCCGAGAGCUGCCCCUCUAAACAACAUAAAAUAUGACCCCUAGAUCCGGACUUAACCGAUCCACGGACCUAGUUACCCCAGGGAUAACAGCGCAAUCCUUCUUAAGAGCCCUUAUCGACAGAAGGGUUUACGACCUCGAUGUUGGAUCAGGGCCCCCUAAUGGUGCAGCAGCUAUUAAGGGUUC